rnacentral:ncRNA from 1 species
UAAAAGGUUUAACUUGAUGAGUGGAAUGACGGAGUAACGCCCUGAAACGCUCACGCUAAUAUGGCUCAUGAAGCAACUCAACUAUCUUAAGAAGUUGUGAUAAGCGAGCUGACAUAUGAUGUACUGUCUGUACAGGUUGAGUAUCAGCGAUAUUCCUCGUCAGAAUAUCAUGCAACACUUCAAAACCGAGGUGGAGGCACACGGAGACAGAGUUAUGGCGGUGUAGAA